CAGCACUGAGCAGAUAUAACACUGCUCCUGCUCAUUCUUCAUCAGUGAGGGGCUGAUGCUGGACACUGUAGGGGCCGAGAAUGCAAAGUCACAUACACUACUGUGACUGAUGCACUAUUUCCAGGAUGUGGAGUAGCAUUUCCGGACCUACAGCAAGACGUUGGAUGAAGACGUAGAUUUCCAGACCUAUUCCAGAAGAAUUUGGAUGAAGGCACAGCCCCUCGAAUCACGCACAUACACAGACACAUUUGGCCAAAUUCUAGAGGUAAUCUCCUUUAGUAUGCCCAGAGGAAGGGCAAUACAGUAGCCAUGGAUUCCCUACAGGUUUCCUCCCCUCUGGAGGUUUUUCCUGUCCUGAGUAUUAGUUACUGUACGCUCUUUGUGAGUGAUGGAGGUUACAAAAAAUCCCCGACACAAACAUUUUUAUAUAUAAUAAAUAAAGUUCCCCUUUUUAAACCAUUUAA